rnacentral:rRNA from 1 species
GACGAACGCUGGCGGCGUGCUUAACACAUGCAAGUCGAGCGGUAAGGCCCUUUCGGGGGUACACGAGCGGCGAACGGGUGAGUAACACGUGGGUGACCUGCCCUCAGCCCUGGGAUAAGCCUGGGAAACCGGGUCUAAUACCGGAUAUGACUCCAUGACGCAUGUUGUGGGGUGGAAAGCCUUGUGCGGCUGAGGAUGGGCCCGCGGCCUAUCAGCUUGUUGGUGGGGUGAUGGCCACCAAGGCGACGACGGGUAGCCGGCCUGAGAGGGCGACCGGCCACACUGGGACUGAGACACGGCCCAGACUCCUACGGGAGGCAGCAGUGGGGAAUCUUGCGCAAUGGGCGAAAGCCUGACGCAGCGACGCCGCGUGAGGGAUGACGGCCU